CUCCACCCCACUCACUUCUGUUUAUAACGCAGAAGGCCCCCCCGAGUUGCCGCCAGCGCAGCUGGUCACAGCCGCCACUUCGUCAUCCCCAGCACACCAGCUGUGCCCGACGCUCGGAGGACAUCCUUCAAACGGAUAACUAUUUUUUUCCUGGCGUGAGUGUAGUUAUAUAGUCUCUUAAUGGGACUGGUUCUUCGAGGGUCAGUUGACGACCCUGUAUGACAGGUUCACAGCUGGCCAGUACUUAGUGAGGCCCUCUAGAUAAGACGACCUCAAGUGUUUCACGUGGGUUACAAUAGUAUCACCAAACAACUGUGGCUAGGGCGGGGCCCUGAAGACGACUCAGCACUCGAUAAAAGUCCCUCAAGAUAAUUUUAAAUUCUGGAGAUGGCCUUCAAAACGACAAAGAAACUCGUGAAGACGACCCAGUACCUGGGCUGGACCCCCAAGAUGUAACACUGAGCAGAUCUUGGCCUCCAGCUUGACGCCGACGCUAUCACCCUCUCAGUUGACGGUACAGCAAAUUCACCUUCACUCCUUCCGGACGAGCCUAAAACCACCUCGUGAACGGUCAGAGCGAAGUCGUGUGAGCUGAGCCAGCGCCCCAACGCAUGCCCCGCCCCCCCAACACACACACACCCCUGCCGGACUAACCCCGUCCGGUUGAACUGGCAGAACGCGUACCAACUGGCUUUCAAUGCCCUGGGAGGUACGUCGCACGAAACAUGGUACUGGCAAGCACCUGUGGGGAGACGCACCUACCCCUGCCCUCCCCACUACCACCUGUGGGGAGACGCACCUCCCCCUGCCCUCCCCACUACCACCUGUGGGGAGACGCACCUCCCCCUGCCCUCCCCACUACCACCUGUGGGGAGCGAGGGAGCACCUGCACCUGUCACAUGACAUUCACUACCUCACAAGCCGUGUUCUCACACUUCCCGCUCCUCUCGCCAACACCAGUCACCUUAGUUUGGUGAUGGUCUAUCAACCUCUGAAGGGUUAUUAAGGCCGCCACAAUUGUUAACUAAUCAACCACAAGAAUACUUUAGUGUUCUUAGUAUUGUAUACAGUGUACGUGAUUGUGAAUUGGGAGUCAGAAGGGUCACACUUCACCUUUGUAUCAGAAGACCAGCAAUUACUAACGUUAUAAACAGAGAAGCCGGGUACACCUGUGUGUGUGUGUGUGAAUAUACACCUUGAGGCCAGCCAGCUGCAGCUGGAGCACCAGAGGCCAGCCAGCUGCAGCUGGAGCACCAGAGGCCAGCCAGCUGCAGCACCAGAGGCCAGCCAGCUGCAGCACCAGAGGCCAGCCAGCUGCAGCACCAGAGGCCAGCCAGCUGCAGCACCAGUGGCCAGCCAGCUGCAGCUGGAGCACCAGUGGCCAGCCAGCUGCAGCUGGAGCACCAGAGGUACGCACCACCUGCCAAAAGGGUUACUGCGUCACGCCGUGGCUCCUGUCUUCUCCACAGAGACCAGAAGUGAUUGGUUUUCGUGUUGUUAUUCUUAAGAGAACACACACAUUUGUGGCGUAGUAUUUGGAGACGCUCGUUAAACUUAAGUCAAAUCUGCAAGUAAUUACACAAGUCUAACUUUACACGGCAAAGUUUUCUUUAAACAAAAAGUCUUAAUAUUGUAUUUACCUACAAAACCACUUAAACACUUUCAAUAAAUAUUAUAAAAUACUAA
rnacentral:lncRNA from 1 species